AUCCGGUUGUACGUCAGCAUGUGAUCUACAAAGAAGCCAAAAUUAAGUAAUUUUGGUUUUCUGCAAAAAACCCGGCUCAGGCCGGGUUUUUUGU
rnacentral:sRNA from 1 species